UACGUAUGGUGCGACCGUUGUUCGGAAUCACUGGGCAUAAAGAGCACGUAGGCGGUUAAGCAAGUCCAUUGUGAAAUCCCCCGGCCUAACCGGGGAACUGCAUUGGAUACUACUUGACUUGAGUGCAGGAGGGGAGAGUGGAAUUCCAGGUGGAGCGGUGAAAUGCGUAGAUAUCUGGAGGAACGCCGGCGGCGAAAGCGACUCUCUGGUCUGUAACUGACGCUGAGGUGCGAAAGCUAGGGGAGCAAACGGG
rnacentral:rRNA from 1 species